AGCAUGAGCAUCCAGCCAGGACGGCUUGUGUCAGCUUUACACUCCAGACCUCCAGUACGCCUCCACAGCCCAGUACGUCCUGUGCCUGCUCCCCGCACUCGCGCUGAGGUGCGUGUCCUCAGCCCAGUACCACCAGUGCCGGCACCACGCACCAGGCCUACAGUGCGACUCGUCAGUCCAGAGCGUCCGGCUACAGUACCCAGCCCAGAGCGUCCGGCUACAGUACCCAGUCCAGAGCGUCCGGCUACAGUACCCAGCCCAGAGCGCCUGGCAACAG
ensembl:lncRNA